GUGGGGAAUCUUCCGCAAUGGACGAAAGUCUGACGGAGCAACGCCGCGUGAGUGAAGAAGGUUUUCGGAUCGUAAAGCUCUUUCGUUAGGGACGAACGUGCUCUUUGUGAAUAAUGAGGAGUAAUGACGGUACCUAAAUAAGAAGCCACGGCUAACUACGUGCCAGCAGCCGCGGUAAUACGUAGGUGGCAAGCGUUGUCCGGAAUUAUUGGGCGUAAAGCGCGCGCAGGCGGGAUAUCAAGUCUGUCUUAAAAGUGGGAGGCUCAACCUCGUGAGGGGACAGAAACUGGUAUUCUUGAGUGUCGGAGAGGAAAGUGGAAUUCCAAGUGUAGCGGUGAAAUGCGUAGAGAUUUGGAAGAACACCAGUGGCGAAGGCGACUUUCUGGACGAUGUCUGACGCUGAGGCGCGAAAGCUAGGGGAGCGAACGGGAUUAGAUACCCUUGUAGUCC
rnacentral:rRNA from 1 species